UCAUGAGUCCUGAUCAAUCAAUCAUCAUCAUCAUGGUCCUGAUCAUCAUCAUCAUCAGUCUGAGUCCUGAUCAUCCCAUCAUUGAUGAUCCUGGAGCAUCAUCACUCCAUCAUGGAGUCCUGAUCAUCAUCAUCAUCAUCAUGAGUCCUGAUCAUCAUCAUCAUGAGUCCUGAUCAUCAUCAUCAUCAUGAGUCCUGAUCAUCAUCAUCAUACAUCAUGAGUACUGCCUCAUACAUCAUCAUCAUGAAGCCU
rnacentral:lncRNA from 1 species